UGACUUGUGGCUGGGGGUGAAAGGCCAAUCAAACCGGGAGAUAGCUGGUUCUCCCCGAAAGCUAUUUAGGUAGCGCCUCGUGAAUUCAUCUCCGGGGGUAGAGCACUGUUUCGGCAAGGGGGUCAUCCCGACUUACCAACCCGAUGCAAACUGCGAAUACCGGAGAAUGUUAUCACGGGAGACACACGGCGGGUGCUAACGUCCGUCGUGAAGAGGGAAACAACCCAGACCGCCAGCUAAGGUCCCAAAGUCAUGGUUAAGUGGGAAACGAUGUGGGAAGGCCCAGACAGCCAGGAUGUUGGCUUAGAAGCAGCCAUCAUUUAAAGAAAGCGUAAUAGCUCACUGGUCGAGUCGGCCUGCGCGGAAGAUGUAACGGGGCUAAACCAUGCACCGAAGCUGCGGCAGCGACACUAUGUGUUGUUGGGUAGGGGAGCGUUCUGUAAGCCUGUGAAGGUGUACUGUGAGGUAUGCUGGAGGUAUCAGAAGUGCGAAUGCUGACAUAAGUAACGAUAAAGCGGGUGAAAAGCCCGCUCGCCGGAAGACCAAGGGUUCCUGUCCAACGUUAAUCGGGGCAGGGUGAGUCGACCCCUAAGGCGAGGCCGAAAGGCGUAGUCGAUGGGAAACAGGUUAAUAUUCCUGUACUUGGUGUUACUGCGAAGGGGGGACGGAGAAGGCUAUGUUGGCCGGGCGACGGUUGUCCCGGUUUAAGCGUGUAGGCUGGUUUUCCAGGCAAAUCCGGAAAAUCAAGGCUGAGGCGUGAUGACGAGGCACUACGGUGCUGAAGCAACAAAUGCCCUGCUUCCAGGAAAAGCCUCUAAGCAUCAGGUAACAUCAAAUCGUACCCCAAACCGACACAGGUGGUCAGGUAGAGAAUACCAAGGCGCUUGAGAGAACUCGGGUGAAGGAACUAGGCAAAAUGGUGCCGUAACUUCGGGAGAAGGCACGCUGAUAUGUAGGUGAAGCGACUUGCUCGUGGAGCUGAAAUCAGUCGAAGAUACCAGCUGGCUGCAACUGUUUAUUAAAAACACAGCACUGUGCAAACACGAAAGUGGACGUAUACGGUGUGACGCCUGCCCGGUGCCGGAA
rnacentral:rRNA from 1 species